GAUGUUAGAAGAUCCCAAAUAUGGAAAUAGUCAGGACCCAGAUGAACCUGUGCUGGAAUUCAGUGUGGGGUGGUGGGUCUCAGAGGACAAUUGCUACCCCUGUUGAAGUGAACAACGUGUGGAGUGCAACUGGCUUUGUGGCAUAGCUGGCUCUGGCCUUGGACUGUGUGUUUUUACUUUGUACCUAAAUGGGACACUGGACUUCUAACUACUAUUCAUUGUGUUUAUAAAUAAAAUUUUAGAAUUUUA